GGGCUGAGCCAGCAGUCUGCUGCUGGCAGAAGAACACCACCCAGCUCAGCCGCUGCUCAGAGCAUCCUUGGAGGUGACAUGCUAUUCCCUUGUGACUGCAACAAUCAGGCGAAACUGUCUUCUGAUGCUGUUCUUUUUAAGCUGUUUCCUGAUGCACUCCAUUACACCCUACAAAGAAAAAUGCUACUGCUUAGCAACAGUCACAGGCAAGAAACCCAGAUGAUUAUCCUAUGCUGUGGAGAGGCAAUACAACUUUCCUUAGCUUGCAAAUAGUAGCUAGUGCACCAGCUGGAUAUAUCCCUUUGAAAUAGACUGUCUAGUGUCAAACAAGAACUACAUAUGAAUACUGUAGUGUGGGACAGGUUCUUGGAAUGGCUUCCUGUGGAAAAACUGAUUGCUGGAGCACAGUGUCUUCUGUUCAAAUGUGUGUAUUUCUAUUGCCCUUUUCCUGAUGCUGUUCAGCCAGAGAAUUCUUUCUAGAGCAGUCAUCUUAAAAGCCACAUAGCUCCUUUGGAACAGCUCAUAAAUACUGUCAUCUUUAAAAAAUGCCAUUGUGCUAU